rnacentral:rRNA from 1 species
UACGGGGGGGGGUAAGCGUUGUUCGGAAUUACUGGGCGUAAAGCGCACGUAGGCGGCUUUGUAAGUUAGAGGUGAAAGCCCGGGGCUCAACUCCGGAACUGCCUUUAAGACUGCAUCGCUUGAAUCCGGGAGAGGUGAGUGGAAUUCCGAGUGUAGAGGUGAAAUUCGUAGAUAUUCGGAAGAACACCAGUGGCGAAGGCGGCUCACUGGACCGGUAUUGACGCUGAGGUGCGAAAGCGUGGGGAGCAAACAGG